GACGAACGCUGGCGGCGUGCUUAAUACAUGCAAGUCGACUGAACUUAAGGUAGCAAUAUUUUAAGGGAGGUGGCGCACGGGUGAGUAACACGUAGGUAAUCUGCCUUUAGGACUGACAUAACCCAGAGAAAUCUGGGCUAAUAUCAGAUGAUGCAGCGGCUCGACAUCGAGACAGUUGUUAAACCUUCGGGGCCUAGAGAUGAGCCUGCGUCUGAUUAGGUAGUUGGCGGGGUAAUGGCCCACCAAGCCAUCGAUCAGUAGCUGGUCUGAGAGGAUGAUCAGCCACACUGGAACUGAGACACGGUCCAGACUCCUACGGGAGGCAGCAGUAAGGAAUAUUGCUCAAUGGCCGAAAGGCUGAAGCAGCAACGCCGCGUGGAGGAUGAAAUACUUUUGUAUGUAAACUCCUGUGAGAAGGGAAAAAUAUGCAGAUUUUCUGCGUUGAUUGUACCUUCAGAGGAA
rnacentral:rRNA from 1 species